AAUAAACGUUGGCGGCGUGCCUAACACAUGCAAGUCGAGCGGAAAACUUCGGUUUUCAGCGGCGGACGGGUGAGUAACACGUGGGCAACCUGCCUCACAAUGAGGGAUAGCCUUCCGAAAGGAAGAUUAAUACCUCAUAACACAGGAGAAACGCAUGUUUCUCUUGCCAAAGAAUUUCGUUGUGAGAUGGGCCCGCGGCGCAUUAGCUUGUUGGUGAGGUGACGGCUCACCAAGGCUUCGAUGCGUAGCCGACCUGAGAGGGUGAUCGGCCACAUUGGAACUGAGACACGGUCCAGACUCCUACGGGAGGCAGCAGUGGGGAAUAUUGCACAAUGGAGGAAACUCUGAUGCAGCAACGCCGCGUGAGUGAUGAAGGUCUUCGGAUUGUAAAACUCUGUCUUCUGGGACGAUAACGACGGUACCAGAGGAGGAAGCCACGGCUAACUACGUGCCAGCAGCCGCCGUAA
rnacentral:rRNA from 1 species